rnacentral:lncRNA from 1 species
GUUAAAUUAUGUUAGGUCUGCUGUUGAGUUUCUAUGAUUUUAAACGCGUCGAACGACGUGGACUGUCUGUUUUGUCUGUUGUGGAAAAAAUCAUUCGAAUUUGCGUGGAUUUUCAUAAAAAAAUCUGGUUUACCGGUGAUACUUGAUAGCAUCGUUUGAAACUUUCCAAUGCAAUAACAUCGACAAAGGGCCAAUCUCGACUCAGUACAUGUUCAUUUAUAUAAAAAAUCCAUCGCAAAUUAUCCUCUUCACGAGUAGUCCAAAACUCCUCUCAGCAAUUGUCAUAAUCUUCCUUCCACAUACCGAAAAUUUAGCUAUGGGAGAACUCUAAACUCAAAUGUUGAAAAGUUACGAAUUUGUUACUACCACAUCCAUCAUUUUACCUCACUCCUGCUCAUUAUCUCCGUUGUCGUUCUCUCCAAUUCCGUUCUGUGAGUGAUAGCCAAUACAUCAUUUACUUCAACAUUUAUCCCAAGACGAAUUACCUAUCACUAAGAUGAUGUUUGAAAAUAUGGUAAAAAAAGGCGAGGAACUCCUGUAUUUCGCACCCUACAGAAGAUGUCAACCUAACAAAGCUUAUCAAACUCUUUGGCAAUAUGAACAAAUAUCCCCAACAUCCACCUCUUAAAAACAUCCUCCAUCAUAUUUUGCACAGCUGUCUACCGUGCAUUCAUUUUUUCUUCACAUGCGAUACAUUUUCUGACGGCUGGCAAAUAAGCUAAAAUUUUGAAACGCUUCUACAAUAAUAACAAAUUUUCAAAAGACCUAACCCUUAGCAGUCUUCACCAUGAUUCACCGCUCUCUUCCUAAAGACAAAACUAAAGUUCUACCUCACAUACAUCUCUUCUUCACAUACAAUUCAUUUAAUUCAUUUCCAUUCACUUUCUCCUGCUCAUUACCUCUGUUGUUUUCUCCAAUUCCGGUCUGUGAGUGAUAGCCAAUAAAAUAUAACAUUUACUUCAAGA